GGAAUCUUCCACAAUGGGCGAAAGCCCGAUGGAACCACGCCGCGUGGAGGAUGACGGCGUUUGCGUUGUGAACUCCUUUUCGGGGGGACGAAACCGACGGUACCCCCAGAAUCAGCCCCGGCUAACUCUGUGCCAACAGCCGCGGUAAGACAGAGGGGGCAAGCGUUGUCCGGAUUGACUGGGCGUACAGCGCGCGCAUGCGGACGGGUAUGUGCGCGGGGACAUCCCACGGCUCAACCGUGGGCGGCCCGCGCAGACAGCCGGUCUGGAGGCAAGGGGAGGGUCGUGGAAUGCCCGGGGGACCGGUAAAAUGCUUAGACAUCGGGCGGACCUCCAGCGGUGAAGGCGGCGACCUGGACCUGAGCUGAUGCUGAGGCGCGAGAGCGUGAGGAACGAACGGGUUAAAAUACCCCGGUACUCCACGCCGUAAACGAUGUGCAGCCGGUGUUGGUGGGUGAUUGCGCCCGGCAGUGCCUAAGCUUACGCGAUGACUCCACCGCCUGGGGAACUACCGCCGCAAUGCUAAAACUCCCAGGAAUUGACGGGGGGCCCGCACAAGCACUUAGCGUGUGGUUUAACUCGACGUACACGAAGCGCAUCACGCUGGUUUUGACAUGCAGCUGCACGCAGAUGAAACCGGUUCCUUGCAAUGGUGCUGCACAGCGCUGCAUGGCUGCCAUCAUCUCG
rnacentral:rRNA from 1 species